rnacentral:rRNA from 1 species
GACGAACGCUGGCGGCGUGCCUAAUACAUGCAAGUCGAACGAGAGCAACCGGUGCUUGCACUGGUCAAUCUAGUGGCGAACGGGUGAGUAACACGUGGGAAACCUGCCCAUCAGAGGGGGAUAACAUCCGGAAACGGAUGCUAAAACCGCAUAGGUCUUCGAACCGCAUGGUUUGAAGAGGAAAAGAGGCGCAAGCUUCUGCUGAUGGAUGGUCCCGCGGUGCAUUAGCUAGUUGGUGAGGUAACGGCUCACCAAGGCCGUGAUGCAUAGCCGACCUGAGAGGGUGAUCGGCCACAUUGGGACGGAGACCCGGCCCAAACUCCUACGGGAGGCAGCAGUAGGGAAUCUUCCGCAAGGGACGCAAGUCUGACGGAGCAACGCCGCGUGAGUGAAGAAGGUUUUCGGAUCGUAAAACUCUGUUGUUAGAGAAGAACAAGUGCUAGAGUAACUGUUAGCGCCUUGACGGUAUCUAACCAGAAAGCCACGGCUAACUACGUG